AUUGAACGCUAGCGGCAGGCCUCACACAUGCAAGUCGAGCGAGCGGCGGACGGGAGAGUAAUGUAUGUGGCAAUGCCUGAUGGAGGGGUAUAAAUACUGGAAACGGUAGCUAAUAACGCCUACACUCAGAUGAACCCAUAUGGCAUUAGCUGGUAGGAAAGGUACCGGCUUACCGAGGCUACUAUCCCUAGCUGUUCUGAGAGGAUGACCAGCCACACUGGAACGGCGACACGGUCCAGACUCCUACGGGAGGCAGCAGUGGGGAAUAUUGGACAAUGGGCGCAAGACUGAUGCAGCCAUGCGGCGUGUAUGAAGAAGGCCUUCGGGUUGUAAAGUACUUGCAGCGAGAAGGCGUUACUCGCAGAAGAAGCACCGGCUAACUCCGUGCCAGCAGCCGCGGUAAUAC
rnacentral:rRNA from 1 species